UUGACUUAGAAAUGAGAAUCGUUAUGAUUAUCGCAUCCGGUCGCGAGACUGGACGGUAACUGAAAGACCUUGGUUCGGACUUUCAGAUUAUCUCCUCAUCAGGCUAAUCACGGUUUUUGACCCGGCUCUUUGCCGGGUCUUUUUUUG
rnacentral:sRNA from 24 species